rnacentral:rRNA from 1 species
GGUUUAAUUCGAUGAUACGCGAGGAACCUUACCCGGGCUUAAAUUGCAGAUGAAUUACGGUGAAAGCCGUAAGCCGCAAGGCAUCUGUGAAGGUGCUGCAUGGUUGUCGUCAGCUCGUGCCGUGAGGUGUCGGCUUAAGUGCCAUAACGAGCGCAACCCUUGUUGUCAGUUACUAACAGGUUCUGCUGAGGACUCUGACAAGACUGCCAUCGUAAGAUGUGAGGAAGGUGGGAUGACGUC